rnacentral:rRNA from 1 species
AACGAUCGCUGGCGGCAGGCUUAACACAUGCAAGUCGAGCACCCCGCAAGGGGAGCGGCAGACGGGUGAGUAACGCGUGGGAACAUACCCUUUCCUGCGGAAUAGCUCCGGGAAACUGGAAUUAAUACCGCAUACGCCCUACGGGGGAAAGAUUUAUCGGGGAAGGAUUGGCCCGCGUUGGAUUAGCUAGUUGGUGGGGUAAUGGCCUACCAAGGCGACGAUCCAUAGCUGGUCUGAGAGGAUGAUCAGCCACAUUGGGACUGAGACACGGCCCAAACUCCUACGGGAGGCAGCAGUGGGGAAUAUUGGACAAUGGGCGCAAGCCUGAUCCAGCCAUGCCGCGUGAGUGAUGAAGGCCUUAGGGUUGUAAAGCUCUUUCACCGGAGAAGAUAAUGACGGUAUCCGGAGAAGAAGCCCCGGCUAACUUCGUGCCAGCAGCCGCGGAAAAAC